rnacentral:lncRNA from 1 species
AACCUCUGAUUCCUAAUCGUUCAUACAGGAAAGAGACUUGGAAUUCUGUCAUCAUGAUGAAGAGGUGGCAAAAUAGAAACUUGAAGUUGUGUCUGAUUCGUUGGAUAGGUGUUUGUAUAAAGCUCAUCUUUGAUAUGAAGUAGGCUGAGUGGCAAUUGCUGGUUGUGAGUGGAGCCUAAACCAUGGAAGGAAUGAGUUGAUGAGUGAAUGAGUGAAUGAAAGAAAAUGUAGACCGUACACAGGCAGAUCAAUGUGUGCAGCUUUUUUCUUUUGCCAGAAAUUUAAAGUGUUUUCUUUAAUUUAAAAACAUAUUAAUGCUCUUUUUAGUAUUUUCUUGUAAAUGUGAAAUGUCUGCCAGUGCCUAGUUAAAUUAAAUAUGCAUGUACUCAUUUACACAGCAGUUCUGCUCCUGGGCUCCUAUACCAAAGAAAUCACACCUACCUCCAUCAGAAACAGGUGUGAGGCUUUUUUUCUGGUGACAUUGUUUGAGGAGGUAGGGAGUGGGGACUCAGACAUCCGUUCCUGGGUGAGGGGACGGGUAACAUGCAGGGAGCGCAUGGGCAGUUAGAGGUAAUCCGCAAGCUGCAGGCAUUGCAGUGUGGACAGCAGGAAGGCACGGUGCUGAGUUUGAAAGGCAGAAAUGGAGUGUGUAACACAGUACCAUUUACAUAAACUAAAAAUACAUCAGCAUGGCUGGGUGCGGUGGCUCACGCCUAUAAUCCCAGCACUUUGGAAGGCCGAGGUGGGUGGAUCAUGAGGUCAGGAGAUCGAGACCAGCCUGGCCAACAUGGUGAAACCCCAUCUAUACUAAAAAUACAAAGAAUAGCUGGGUGUGGUGGUACUCCUGUAAUCCCAGCUGCUCGGGAGGUUGAGGCAGGAGAAUCGCUUGAAACUGGGAGGUGGAGAUUGCAGUAAGCAGAGAUUGCAGUGAGCUGAAAUUGCACUACUGCACUCCAGCCUGGCGAUAGAGCAAGACUCUAUCUAAAAAAAAAAGAAAAAAAAAAACAGUACGAGGACGGAUCUAUUUUAAACCCAUUAGAAAAGUCGGCUAUAGGGAAUGGGAUGACAGAUGGACACAGAAGGCAAUCACGUGUCCAUACAUCCAUGAAGUGAGAGACAAGCCUUACGCGGACCAGUAUCAUCAUAUGCUGUUACAGGAGGGUACGUAACUUUUGGAACUUUAGGCUGAAAAAGUUCAAAUACACAUGAAGGUAUAAGCAUAUAAAGAUAAAUGUGAACAUGUUUUGCAUACUGGCCUAAUUCCAAUUUCUAGAGGAAGCAACCAUUAGCAGUUUGAAACCAUUUGUUGUAUAUUGUUCCAGACUCAUUUCCGUGCACAUAGAAAGUCUAAUUUUGUCUUUACAGAAAUGACAUCAUGCUAUGUCUAUCGCCCUGCACUUUGCCUUUUCCACUUACAAUUUCAUAUCUAUCCACCUAUCUAUCCAUUAUCUAUCUAUCCAUCUGUCAUCUACCCAUUCAUCUUCCAUCAUCUGUGCACCUGUGUAUCUACAUAUCCAUCACCUGACCAUUCAUCUUCUAUCCAUUUAUCUAUCAUCUAUCCAUCCAUCUUCUAUAUAUUAUCUAUGUAUCUAUCCAUCCAUCAUCUAUUAUCUAUCUAUCUAUCUAUCUAUCUAUCUAUCUGACACCUAUCUCUUAUUGUUGUCCUUCCAUUCCUGUAGAUAUGGACCAACUUCUUCCGUCCUUCUUUUUCUUCUACUUCUCUCUUUCUUUCUUCUUUCUUUCUUUCUCUUUCUUUCUUUCUUUUUCUCUCUCUUUCUCUCUCUCACUCUCUCUUUCUUUCUUUCCUCUCGACCCUGUUUAUUGAUAAUUCAACAGAACCAGUUUGAAAUAUGGAGAAAUUAGGUCAACUCUACACUUUCACAUGGCUUAUUUUCAGCUUCCAAUCUUAGCUAGUGACAUGACUCUUUCUUCCAAGUCGAGGUCUUGCAGCACUUGCCUUCACUCCCGUAGCUGUAGUUAGACAGCACCUUAGGCUUGGGUCGACCCUCGGUGAACUCUAUGCCGUGUCCCGCCGCGCCACAGCACAGCUUUCUCCUCAUUGUCUUCUGGCUCUGACUGUAGACAUGGAAAAAGCAGAGUCAACCUGAAUCUUCUCCCUUGCACGAGGCCAACUGCUGCCUGAAUCAUCAUAGGAUUCUUUACUUUCUCUUGAAGAUAAACAACUUCACCAGAAAAUGUCCAAGUGUUGUUCAGCAAUUGAGAGUUUCUUUUGCUAUGUUUGUUUUCAUCACUUUUACUUCAUACCUUUUUUUUUUCAUUUAAUUUUGUGUCGUUUUUCUCAAGGCUGACACAUCACAAACUCUGUUUUCAACAGUCCGUAUUCCACAUUCAUUGCUUCUAACAUGGAGCUAACUUCUGCAAUGAUGUGGCCACCACUGGAACAGGAAGGUUGCUGUCAGAAUCUGGAGAAAUUCAUGGGAAGUUUAAUGUUGCCAGUGAGAGAAACACUCUGUGAGCUGUUCUUAGGGUCUGCUGGUGAGAUGGCUCAGGAAGGGUAAACACUGGAGGCAUGAGAAUACCAUCGAAGGGGCCGACUGCAGUGCCGGGCAUUGUGUAGGCCACAGCCACCAGUGCCUCCAUGUUUCUGACCAAAUGCUUCAGUGCCCUUUAGUGAGUGUGUCGCAGACAAGGCAUUUUUGUAUGAGAUCCAGGGUUCAUACCAUCAUGAUUCUUAGCCUUCAUAUUCAUCACACACUGGAAGGGACGCUGCGUGCCAGGCGUUCCGGCCGGCCAUCUGCGGGGGAAGGAGGAGCAU